rnacentral:pre_miRNA from 2 species
AACUCCUCGUUGGAGAAGCAGGGCACGUGCAAGAUUCUUGGCUCUAAAAUGUCACUUAGUUCUUUGCAGGUGCUCUCCUUCUCCAACACGGUGUC